AUUGAACGCUGGCGGCAGGCCUAACACAUGCAAGUCGAGCGGAUGAGUGGAGCUUGCUCCAUGAUUCAGCGGCGGACGGGUGAGUAAUGCCUAGGAAUCUGCCUGGUAGUGGGGGACAACGUUUCGAAAGGAACGCUAAUACCGCAUACGUCCUACGGGAGAAAGUGGGGGAUCUUCGGACCUCACGCUAUCAGAUGAGCCUAGGUCGGAUUAGCUAGUUGGUGAGGUAAAGGCUCACCAAGGCGACGAUCCGUAACUGGCCUGAGAGGAUGAUCAGUCACACUGGAACUGAGACACGGUCCAGACUCCUACGGGAGGCAGCAGUGGGGAAUAUUGGACAAUGGGCGAAAGCCUGAUCCAGCCAUGCCGCGUGUGUGAAGAAGGUCUUCGGAUUGUAAAGCACUUUAAGUUGGGAGGAAGGGCAGUAAGUUAAUACCUUGCUGUUUUGACGUUACCAACAGAAUAAGCACCGGCUAACCUCGUGCCAGCCGCCGCCGUAAAAC
rnacentral:rRNA from 1 species